GCGUGAAAGCUCCAUGCUCAACGCGGAGAGGUCGUUCAAUACUGCCGAACUAGAGGACAUCAGAGGAGCAUGGAAUUUCCGGUGUAGCGGUAAAAUGCGCAGAUAUCGGAAGGAACACCAGUGGCGAAGCCGGUGCUCUGGGGUGUGCCUGACGCUGAGAGACGAAAGCUAGGGGAGCGAACAGGAUUAGAGACCCUGGUAGUCCUAGCCCUAAACGAUGGAUGCUAGAUGUGGGGCCGAGAAGGCUCCGUGUCGCAGUUAACGCGCUAAGCAUCCCGCCUGGGGAUUACGGCCGCAAGGCUAAAACUCAAACGAAUUGACGGGGCCCCGCACAAGCAGCGGAGCGUGUGGUUUAAUUCGAUGCUACACGAAGAACCUUACCUGGGUUUGACAUGUAAGUGGUAGUGAAGCGAAAGCGGAGCGACCCUUCGGGGAGCUUACACAGGUGCUGCAUGGCUGUCGUCAGCUCGUGCCGUGAGGUGUCGGGUUAAGUCCCGUAACGAGCGCAACCCUUGCCCUUAGUUACAAGUGUCUAAGGGGACUGCCGGCGGUAAGCCGGAGGAAGGUGGGGAUGACGUCAAGUCAGCAUGGCCCUUAUAUCCAGGGCUACACACACGCUACAAUGGUCAGUACAAAGGGCAGCGAAGCCGCGAGGUGAAGCGAAUCCCACCAAAGCUGAUCUAAGUUCGGAUUGCAGGCUGCAACUCGCCUGCAUGAAGCUGGAGUUGCUAGUAACCGCGCGUCAGCCAUAGUGCGGUGAAUACGUUCCCNGGGGCUUGUACACACCGCCCGUCACGUCAUGGGAGUCGGUAACGCCUGAAGCUGGUAGUCUGGCCCUAANCGGGGGGACGCCAUCUAAGGCGGGGC
rnacentral:rRNA from 1 species